rnacentral:rRNA from 1 species
UACAGAGGUCUCAAGCGUUGUUCGGAUUCAUUGGGCGUAAAGGGUGCGUAGGCGGCGCGGUAAGUCGGGUGUGAAAUCUCGGAGCUUAACUCCGAAACUGCAUUCGAUACUGCCGUGCUUGAGGACUGGAGAGGAGACUGGAAUUUACGGUGUAGCGGUGAAAUGCGUAGAUAAUCGUAAGGAAGACCAGUGGCGAAGGCGGGUCUCUGGACAGGUUCCUGACGCUGAGGCACGAAGGCCAGGGGAGCAAACGGG